UCUUUGUUCAUACGUUUCGGUGAGUCAAGUAAGUACCGGCUAUAAUACUCGUGAGCGAUUUUGCUAAGCAAGCCUUGCAAGUCUACAAUAACCAAAAUAAUGCGAAUUUUGAGUUUGAUCAUCUUGUCAAGGCUAAUUGCCAAGCUGUUUCCGGCAUUAUGUAUUACAUUACUUUUACUGCACGCUCUGGGGAUAAUGCGCUUCAAACCUUUUGCGGCAAAGUAUGGCAAAAAGUAAUGAAUAAGGGAACAGAAGUUAAGUUUUGUGUGAUGGCAACUGAUUAAGCAGGAAGCUGGUACAUAUCAGGUGUAAGUCGCGGAGACGAGCCUAGGACCCUGUUCUAGUUGUGUUUGAUGGGUCCUUCCUUCAGGAAAGAAAACUCUCUGCUAUUAUAUAACCU